rnacentral:rRNA from 1 species
GAUGAACGCUGGCGGUAUGCUUAACACAUGCAAGUCGAACGGACUCUUCGGAGUUAGUGGCGGACGGGUGUGUAACGCGUGAGAAUCUGGCUUUGGGUUCGGGACAACCACUGGAAACGGUGGCUAAUACCGGAUGUGCCGAGAGGUAAAAGAGAAAUUGCCUGCAGAUGAGCUCGCGUCUGAUUAGCUAGUUGGUGAGGUAAAGGCUCACCAAGGCAGCGAUCAGUAGCUGGUCUGAGGGGAUGACCGGCCACACUGGGAAUGAGACACCGCCCAGACGCAUACGGGAGGAAGCAGGGGGGAAUUGUCCGGAAUGGGCGAAAGACUGACGGAGCAAUACCGAGUGAGGGAAGAAGGCUCUUGGGGUGUAAACCUCUUUUCUUAGGGAAGAACAAAAUGACGGUACCUAAGGAAUCAGCAUCGGCUAACUACGUG